AGAAGUCCGUACUGAUCAAAUAUGGAAGGCUUUAGGAGCCUGUCUCUGCUCUAAAGCAUUGACAAUAAGACUCUGACUGCAACAGAACAGGCCAAGCAACUGAUUUAUUAACUAAGGAGCAACCUAUAUUCUUACUACAGAGUGUGAAUUUGCAGAAACAAAUCCUUCCCAUCUCAAUAUUCAGAGUGCUUUAUUAGGAGAUCUAAUCUGCGCUACUUUCCAGAC